AAUUGUAAGCAUAAAAAUCUGUAAUUAUGCUAAGUCAAUAAUGCGGAAUUAACCUAAAUGCCAGGAUUGAAAUCAAUACAUAGAUCUAAUUAUACGAUGCGUACCUUUUGAUGCCAUCCGUUCAGAGAUCUUGUUUGAUCUGCUCAGCACCGUGAUCCAAGAUUGCUGAAGGCUCCGUCUUCAAUCCGAUCGCGCUGCGGAAUCUGCAGGGAGUGCGCAGAGUAGACCCUUUCUCCUCUCUUCCUAUCCUUU
rnacentral:lncRNA from 1 species